rnacentral:rRNA from 2 species
AAGUACGGCGGCAACGCUAAAACUCAAAGGAAUAGACGGGGACUCACACAAGCGGUGGAUCAUGUGGCUCAAUUCGACGGUAAACGAGGAAUCUUACCAGGGUUUGAAAUACUAGUGAAAUCUCGCAGAAAUGCAAGACUACCCACAAGGACACUAGUACAGGUGCUGCAUGGUUGUCGUCAGCUCGUAUCUUGAGACGUACCGUUAAGUCGGGUAACGAGCGCAACCCUUGCUCUGUGUUUUAUUUGUCACAGAGGACUGCCCGGGACAACCGGGAGGAAGGCGAGGAUGACGCCAAAUCAGCACGGCCCUUUGACACCCUGGGCUGCACACGUGAUACAAUGGGGCCGACAAUGGGUUUGCCAAGCCGUAAGGCGGAGCUAAUCCCAUCAAACGGCCUCUCAGUUCAGAUUGAGGGCUGAAACCCGCCCUCAUGAAGCUGGAAUCGCUAGUAAUCGCCAAUCAGCUAUGUGGCGAUGAAUACGUUCCUGAGUCUUGUACUCACCGCCCGUCAAGCCAAGCGAGCUGGGAACACCCGAAGUGCCCGUUGAGGGAGCCAAGGUGGGCUCAGUGAGAGGGGCUAAGUCGUAACAAGGCACCGGUAGGGGAACCUGUCGGUGGAUCAC